rnacentral:rRNA from 1 species
UACGUAGGGGGCGAGCGUUGUCCGGAUUUAUUGGGCGUAAAGAGCUCGUAGGCGGUUCGAUAAGUCGGAUGUGAAAUCUCCACGCUCAACGUGGAGGGGCCAUUCGAUACUGUCGUGACUCGAGUCCGGUAGGGGAGUGUGGAAUUCCCGGUGUAGCGGUGAAAUGCGCAGAGAUCGGGAGGAACACCCGUAGCGAAGGCGGCACUCUGGGCCGGUACUGAC